CAGUGAUAGUGCACUCUAGUGGUCAAAUUUGGAUGUGAGGAUUCGAUUCCCCAUUCGAUAUUAGCGUCACAGUUGUCAACACCUUUGAAGCUGUUGAACCUGUUGAAGCACGAUUUACCAAAUCUCGCCGGUCGGCGCCGGAUCGUAUUCAGAUCAUUCUCAUUUCUCGCCCGGGCCUCCCGUCAUCAGUCUUCAAAGGAAGGAACAUAAUGAAGAAGAUAGUGUUUUUUUAAUACAUUAGUGAACAGUGAUUUAAAUCCUUUUUUUUUCAUUUGUUAUAAUAAUUGGAGUUCAACUUCUGAAGCUGUCCAAUCGAGAGGAAAGCCGGAAAAUAGAAUAUUUUGUAUUAACAGCACGAUUUACCAAAUCUCGCCGGCCGGCGCCGAAUCCUGUACAAUCGAGGAGAAAGCCGGGGAAUAGAAUAUUUUGUA